AUUGAACGCUGGCGGCAGGCCUAACACAUGCAAGUCGAACGGUAACAGGAAGCAGCUUGCUGCUUUGCUGACGAGUGGCGGACGGGUGAGUAAUGUCUGGGAAACUGCCCGAUGGAAGGGGAUAACUACUGGAAACGGUAGCUAAUACCGCAUAACGUCGCAAGACCAAAGAGGGGGACCUUAGGGCCUCUUGCCAUCGGAUGUGCCCAGAUGGGAUUAGCUAGUAGGUGGGGUAACGGCUCACCUAGGCGACGAUCCCUAGCUGGUCUGAGAGGAUGACCAGCCACACUGGAACUGAGACACGGUCCAGACUCCUACGGGAGGCAGCAGUAGGGAAUAUUGCACAAUGGGCGCAAGCCUGAUGCAGCCAUGCCGCGUGUAUGAAGAAGGCCUUCGGGUUGUAAAGUACUUUCAGCGGGGAGGAAGGGAGUAAAGUUAAUACCUUUGCUCAUUGACGUUACCCGCAGAAGAAGCACCGGCUAACUCCGUG
rnacentral:rRNA from 1 species